rnacentral:rRNA from 1 species
UAGGGAAUAUUUCACAAUGGGGGGAACCCUGAUGGAGCAAUGCCGCGUGUGUGAAGAAGGCUUUCGAGUCGUAAAGCACUGUUAUAAGGGAAGAACAUGUAGAUCAGGAAAUGGGUUUACACUGACGGUACCUUAUCAGAAAGGGACGGCUAACUACGUGCCAGCAGCCGCGGUAAUACGUAGGUCCCAAGCGUUAUCCGGAAUUAUUGGGCGUAAAGGGUCCGUAGACGGUUUAUUAAGUCUGGUGUGAAAUAUUGUGGCUCAACCACAAAAACGCAUCAGAUACUGGUAAACUAGAGUAUGUUAGAGGAUAGUGGAAUUCCAUGUGUAGCGGUGAAAUGCGUAGAUAUAUGGAGGAACACCAGUGGCGAAGGCGGCUAUCUGGGACAUUACUGACGUUGAGGGACGAAAGCGUGGGGAGCGAACA